CAAAAAGUAGCUUAAUAAAAGCAUUCAAUUUACAAUUGAAAAACGCCAGAGUCCAUCCUGGCCUUUUUGC
rnacentral:tRNA from 1 species